UCUCCGUUGGUGAACCAGCGGAGGGAUCAUUGCUGGAACGCGCUUCGGCGCACCCAGAAACCCUUUGUGAACUUAUACCUAUUGUUGCCUCGGCGUUAGGCCGGCCUCUUCACUGAGGCCCCCCGGAGACGGGGAGCAGCCCGCCGGCGGCCAAGUUAACUCUUGUUUUUACACUGAAACUCUGAGAAAAAAACAUAAAUGAAUCAAAACUUUCAACAACGGAUCUCUUGGUUCUGGCAUCGAUGAAGAACGCAGCGAAAUGCGAUAAGUAAUGUGAAUUGCAGAAUUCAGUGAAUCAUCGAAUCUUUGAACGCACAUUGCGCCCUCUGGUAUUCCGGAGGGCAUGCCUGUUCGAGCGUCAUUUCAACCCUCAAGCCUGGCUUGGUGAUGGGGCACUGCCUGUAAAAGGGCAGGCCCUGAAAUCUAGUGGCGAGCUCGCCAGGACCCCGAGCGUAGUAGUUAUAUCUCGCUUUGGAAGGCCCUGGCGGUGCCCUGCCGUUAAACCCCCAACUUCUGAAAAUUUGACCUCGGAUCAGGUAGGAAUACCCGCUGAACUUAA
rnacentral:rRNA from 1 species